NNNNNNNNNNNNNNNNNNNNNNNNNNNNNNNNNNGAGGGAGGGAGGGAGGGAGGGAGGAGGGUCUGAGGGAGGAGUGGGGUCAGGACUCCUGGAUCUGAGGGGGAGGGCUGAGGUCUGGUUCCUGGGAUCUGUAGGGGUAGGGCUGGGUCCUUGGAGUAAGGAAACCUGACUCAAGCCUGGGUACUGUAGGAGAGGAGGCCAGAGGUGAGGACUGCCCUGGGAAAGACAAGAGGAACAUGUCGGAGCAGAGGAAGUCCUGCUGUCUGGGGAGGAUUUCAGGGGCAGAUUCCACCAGUCUGGGCGCUCUCCCACCCACACUCUGCCUGCCUGGGGAACUCCAGCCUGGCAGAAAAGAAAGGGAGCCGGGAAGACAACUGGGGGGUCGAGGCGGGUCACCAGGGCUCCACACCCAGCAGCCCAAACACAGARAGUGUAGAGAGGGGGGGAUCCUCAAUCCCUCAGUGGGUCAGGCUGGACCCCAGGGCCAAAACCCAUGCAGGUAUUCCAGAAGGAACUGUGGCCCCAGAUGGACCUCUGGGUCUUAGAGGGGAGAGGACUGGGGRCCCAGACUCUGGGGUCCCCGAGGGAAGAGGAGGGAGAGCUCUGGGGGCUGAGGUUUCUGGUCUAGGGCAGGACAAAUGCUGCCGCUGGGAAGUUGAACCCACAAACUGGAGGAAGGAGGUGAGGGGCUCCCCGAAGCUGAGGUGCUGCCUGCUGAGUCCUCAGGAGACAGGAAGUGGUGGUUUGGGGGUGAGGGCCAGUCAGAUCCAAGGUCGGACAGGUGCUGGGGCCUGGACUUUGCCUCUAGAGGACGUGGACGACCUGCCUGCCCCUGCCCCACCCAGAAUCCCUUCCCUGAAGGCUCACCUGCCCCAAGCUACACAGGGAGUUCCAGAAGGAGAGGGACAGGGUAAGGCCAGGGCCCUGGCCUGGAGGUGGGGGAAGGGGAAGACCAGGAGAGACCAGGGUUGGGGAGGGGCCAGGGACUGAAAGCCAUGGGAAGUAGCCCCAGGGCCCAGGGCUAGGGCUUCCCUGGUUCCGUCAGACCCCUGCCCAUUCCUUCUGCCCGGGAGCCAAAGGGUCU
rnacentral:lncRNA from 1 species